AGAGUAUGAUACCGGCUCAGGACGAACGCUGGCGGCGUGGAUUAGGCAUGCAAGUCGAACGAGAAUCUUAACUUCGGUUAUGAAGAGAGUGGCGAAAGGGUGAGUAACGCGUAGGUAAUUUGCCCUUGAGACAGGAAUAACAUCCCGAAAGGGUUGCUAAUACCUGAUAACAUCUAUUAACCCUCGGGUUUUUGGAUCAAAUGAAGGCUCUGCUUUCGCUCAAGGAGAAACCUGCGUCCUAUUAGCUUGUUGGUGGGGUAAUGGCCUACCAAGGCGAUGAUGGGUAGCUGGUCUGAGAGGAUGGUCAGCCACAUUGGGACUGAGACACUGCCCAAACUCCUACGGGAGGCUGCAGUCGAGAAUAUUUCGCAAUGGGGGAAACCCUGACGAUGCGACGCCGCGUGGGGGAUGAAGGUCUUCGGAUUGUAAACUCCUGUUCUACAAGAAGAACGAGCAGUUAGUGAUAAGCUAACUGCUGUGACUGUAUUGUAGCAGCAAGCCCCAGCUAACUACGUGCCAGCAGCUGCGGUAAUACGUAGGGGGCAAGCGUUGUCCGGAAUUACUGGGCGUAAAGCGCACGCAGGCGGCCAUAUAAGUCGGAUAUGAAAUUGCUUGGCUUAACCAAGCAACUGUAUUCGAUACUGUGUGGCUUGAGUACGAGAGGGGAAAGUGGAAUGUACAGUGUAGCGGUGAAAUGCGUAGAGAUUGUACAGAACACCGGUAGCGAAGGCAGCUUUCUGGCUCGAUACUGACGCUGAGGUGCGAAAGUCUGGGUAGCGAACGGGAUUAGAUACCCCGGUAGUCCAGACCGUAAACGAUGGGUACUAAGUGU
rnacentral:rRNA from 1 species